CCUACGGGAGGCUGCAGUGGGGAAUAUUGCACAAUGGGGGAAACCCUGAUGCAGCAACGCCGCGUGAGCGAUGAAGGCCUUCGGGUCGUAAAGCUCUGUCCUAAGGGAAGAAUACUGACGGUACCUUAGGAGGAAGCCCCGGCUAACUACGUGCCAGCAGCCGCGGUAAUACGUAGGGGGCUAGCGUUAUCCGGAAUUACUGGGCGUAAAGGGCGUGUAGGCGGUCUGAUAAGUCAGGAGUGAAAAACCUGGGCUCAACCGAGGUAUUGCUUCUGAAACUGUUGGACUUGAGGGCAGGAGAGGUAAGUGGAAUUCCUAGUGUAGCGGUGAAAUGCGUAGAUAUUAGGAAGAGCACCAGUGGCGAAGGCGACUUACUGGCCUGACCCUGACGCUGAGGCGCGAAAGCGUGGGGAGCGAACAGGAUUAGAUACCCUGGUAGUC
rnacentral:rRNA from 1 species